rnacentral:lncRNA from 1 species
AUUUUAAUGUUAUAAUUAUUUAUUAAAUAGUGAAAAGUAGACCAGAGAAAGAGAGAAGCACAAGAAAGCUGAGAGCAUGAGAUCCUGAGCCAUCUGGCAGCCAGCACUUCUAGACACUUCUUACAUGAGCAUCUGAACAAGCACCAAGUCAGACCAUGUGCCUCCUAAGUCUGGGGUUCUAGGAAAAAGGAGGUCCUUCCUGUACCCUCUGUUAAUUUAUGUUCUUUGUGAUGUCCCUUUCCUGAAGAACUCAGAUCUCCAUCAGGAUGUGUCAGGUCUUCUUGACUUUAGAAGUAACCAUGGCAUUUAGAAUGAUGACAUAACACAUGUAUGAUGUUUCCUAGCAAAAGGAGGCAAAAGGAAGGAGGACAUCACCCAUGGUCUCAGGAAAACAGUUUAAGCUUCAGUCCCAAGAUCAAACAUUUUUUACAUUGAAAUCAAAAGGUUGUUUUGGGGGCCCAAAAAGGGUACAAAUUAAUAUUAACUUUCCACAAAAGCAUUGGGAUUGAAGAAAGGAGAAACUAUGUCCAAGUUGGCAUCUUGGGAUGUGGAAGAUGAGACACAGAGGUUAAGUGUCUUAACUGGGCAGAGGCAAAUAAAGAGAAGUGGAGCCAGCUUUAGCAAGACUGAUUGCUCUUGGCCCUCAUGGAAGCAGGGGGUUAGUCAAUCAUCAGACGUUUAUUGAGCAGAAAGUUUAAUCAUUCUUCUUGAACUAUUUGGAGACGGUUUUCCUUUUCCUGUAAUGCUUCUUUUUGGGACUAAAAUCAGGACGUGUCAGUCAAUCAACAAGUGUUUGCUAAAGUUUCAGGCACUGUGGUAAGUGCUGGGGAUACAAAAAAGGUAAAAAUAUGGUCCUGUCCCUCAAGGAAUUCACAUUCUAUGUAGGAGAUAACAGGUGAAAAAUUGUACACACAAUAUCUCCAUUUAUUUCUACUUCUCUGUGUCUGUCUGUCUCUUUAUAUCUCUCUAUCUAUCACUGAGAGAGGGAAAGGAGACCCUUAGAAAGGAUUCCUGGCAAAGGUAACACUUGAGCUAAGACUUGAAUUAAACCAAGGAAGCAGAUAGGUGAAAGUAAUGAGGGAAAGAAUUCUAGGCCUAGGGAAUAGUCAGUGAGAAGGCAUGGAAUAAGGAGACAGAAUAUACUGUGUUAAGAACAGAAAAUAGCUGAGUAUUACUAGAUCA